rnacentral:tRNA from 1 species
UUCUGGUUAGCUCAGUUGGUAGAGCGCUCCACUGGAAAUGGAGAGGUCCUUGGUACCAGGACCAGGCG